AUACCGCAUAAUGUCUACGGACCAAAGGGGGCUUCGGCUCUCGCCUUUAGAUUGGCCCAAGUGGGAUUAGCUAGUUGGUGAGGUAAUGGCUCACCAAGGCAACGAUCCCUAGCUGGUUUGAGAGGAUGAUCAGCCACACUGGAACUGAGACACGGUCCAGACUCCUACGGGAGGCAGCAGUGGGGAAUAUUGCACAAUGGGCGCAAGCCUGAUGCAGCCAUGCCGCGUGUGUGAAGAAGGCCUUCGGGUUGUAAAGCACUUUCAGUCAGGAGGAAAGAUUAGUAGUUAAUACCUGCUAGUUGUGACGUUACUGACAGAAGAAGCACCGGCUAACUCCGUGCCAGCAGCCGCGGUAAUACGGAGGGUGCGAGCGUUAAUCGGAAUUACUGGGCGUAAAGCGUACGCAGGCGGUUUGUUAAGCGAGAUGUGAAAGCCCCGGGCUCAACCUGGGAACUGCAUUUCGAACUGGCAAACUAGAGUGUGAUAGAGGGUGGUAGAAUUUCAGGUGUAGCGGUGAAAUGCGUAGAGAUCUGAAGGAAUACCGAUGGCGAAGGCAGCCACCUGGGUCAACACUGACGCUCAUGUACGAAAGCGU
rnacentral:rRNA from 1 species